GCUAGAUAGAGAUAAUGGGAGAUGAAUUUUGCAUUGACAGAUAUUUACAUGUGAAUUCUUAUAUAUAGUCAGCCAGUCACAUUACUAAUCACUGGAGAUAGAAUAGAAUAGCUAUGAUCGGCACUUUAACCAUUGGAGUCCCAGGUCAAACAUGUUAGAAACUUUGACAGAGCAGAAUGGCAGGCUCCUGAUUGGCCCACCUACUUCCUGCUAGAGACACGGCUAAUCACUUCCAUCAUGGGAAAUCUUGCAAAGGCAGUGAUUUCAAAUGUCAUCAUUA